GUAAAAAGAAAUAUAUAAAUUUCUCUUGAAGCUGCUGUGGAGGAAAAAUAACCAACGAUACACAUAUAAUAUGAAUUGCGUGUGUGUGUAUACAUGCAGGUAUGUGAUUAUUUGGUGAAGUCUAGAAUGGAGAAGCGCAUACACUUGGUGUUCAACGGAGCGAAAGCCCAUGUGUGCAGAGAUGUCUUGAUGUACUUGCGUACAUCAAUAUGGCGAUCGGUUAAAUUUUUGGGUAUGCACUUGUACAUAUAUAUACAUAUGUACAGACACCAAUAUGGCGACCUUUUUUUGGAGCCACUUUGUGUUUUAUUUCUUUUAAUAUCUGGCACUUUUAGAAGCCCUUAUGGCUACGAACAAUAUUUUAUUUGAGUUUUUUAAAUACAAUUGCCCCUUGCUUCAACCACGGACAAUGUGAAGCGAAAAAAAAUAUGUUCAGACACACAAAUAUGAAUAAAUCGGACUGGAGUUGCCGGAAAUUUGGCAAUGGACGAGUUGAGGUAGGUGCACUGCUACUUAUCUUGUUUGAAUUUGUAGCUGUUCCUGGAACCUUUUGUUGCAGAUCCACCAAUGCUUGCUGGGGCGAACUGGAUAUGCUAGAUGUUGAAGAAGUAUCCGGCUCGAAGGACCAAAUGUUGUAGUAGGGCGUCCGCAGGGCUUCCAGGUGAAACUUUACGAAAUGAAGUAUCGUUGGGGGAGCGUUUCUGCUCUGCACAAUUUUCAUAAUAAGAGUACAUUACAAUGUAUUAGUGUAAGUGAGGUGAAUUUCAUGUUCCAUGUACUGGUUCCGGAGUUACAUGGCGGUUGGAUGGCGACUGCCGGAUACACUUCUUGUGUGAACAUAAGUAUAAAUGUCUUUGGGUAUGAUGAACAAAUUAACGAGAUCAUUGGACCGUUUUACUUAACUAACGAAAACCGGAGAAAGCAUAUUGAUCUAUUGCUUUUGGAAAAUCAGAAUAUCUCACAUUAUGCCUGGAUUAAGAAUUUAUCACGGAAAUGUGUGUGGUUACGAUUUCUUCUGAUUUAGAAGAAAUAUUCGUAAGCCACUCAGCCAUGAUAAGUUCAAAGAUGGGUGAAUUUCAAGAGAGAGAUAGUGGUUGGACUCUCAUAAAAAUGUUAUGUCUUGAAAUGAUUAUCAACAACAAUAAGCCACUAAGAGGCUCCAGCUUUAUUCCGUUACCACGGAAAUUAAGUUUGAAGAAAGCCAUAAUAAACAUCAAAAACGAAGAUGAGUUUUGUUUCAUGUGGGCUUUAUUAGCAGCCAUAAAAAACUCUACAUAAUACUGCUAGGUGUGCAUCUUAUAAAAUCAAUGAUAUAAGGAGUCCAGUUAUUGAAAUUGAUGAGAUAUUCUCACUAAAAUUUCAUAAUAUGGAAUUUCCGCAAAAGCUCAAAGACAUUAAAAUGUUUGAAGAACAAAAUACUAACAUAAGUAUAAAUGUCUUUGGGUAUGAUGAAGAAAUUAACGAGAUCAUUGGACCGCUUUACUUAACUAACGAUAACCGGAGAAAGCAUAUUGAUCUAUUGCUUUUGGAAAAUCAGAAUAUUUCACAUUAUGCCGGCUUACACACAAUCAACUGACUUCACAUACGAGGAAAUUACAUUUCUGUAAUGUAUGCGUGAACUUUUCACAUAACGAGAGGUUGCAUAGUGAGCAGUGUGGAAAAGCAACGGCGCGAAUACGUGAACAAAACAUUCGACAGGUAUCUCAAAGCUAACGGUAUUGCACGGCAAUUGACGAUACCAUAUACGCCAGAGCAGAACGGCGUGGAUGAGAGGGCGACCCGUACUUUGGUUGAAAUGUCACGAUGACUACUAGUACAUUCUGUACAUACAUACAUACAUACUGGGCGAUACUCGAGCCGUUACAUUUGACUGCCAACAAGUGCAAAGAAAACUGAAAACUGGUCAAUCGAGCGCAGAGAUCGACAGGGCAGCAG